CAGUCACUCUUGUGUUAGCAAUACUGUCUCUAAGCUUGCCAUCUCAAAUCUCAGCUGAUACCUACUUGUACUCAUCACCUCCUCCUCCCAAGAAGCCCUAUUAUUAUCACUCUCCUCCACCACCUUCACCUCCUCCACCUAAGCCAUACUACUAUCAUUCACCACCACCACCUUCACCUCCUCCACCCAAGCCAUACUACUAUCACUCACCACCACCACCUUCACCUCCUCCACCUAAACCAUACUACUAUCACUCACCACCACCACCUUCACCUCCUCCACCUAAACCAUACUACUAUCACUCACCACCACCACCUUCACCUCCUCCACCUAAACCAUACUACUAUCACUCACCACCACCACCUUCACCUCCUCCACCUAAGUCAUAUUACUAUCACUCACCACCACCACCACCCAAAAAGAAGCCAUACUACUACCAUUCUCCCCCACCACCUUCACCACCUCCUCCUAAGCCAUACUACUAUCACUCUCCCCCACCGCCUUCACCUCCUCCACCUACGCCAUACUACUAUCAUUCUCCCCCACCACCCUCACCACCUCCACCUAAGCCAUACUACUACCAUUCACCACCACCCCCACCGAAGAAGAAGCCUUACUACUACCACUCUCCACCACCACCUUCACCUCCUCCUCCAAAGAAGCCAUACUACUACCACUCCCCACCUCCUCCCAAGAAGCCCUACAAAUAUUCAUCUCCCCCACCUCCAGUGCACCCUUACCCUCAUCCUCACCCCCAUCCCCAUCCACACCCCCACCCUCACCCUCCCUACGUUUACAAAUCUCCUCCCCCACCCCCUAAGAAGCCAUACAAGUACCCAUCCCCACCACCUCCAGUCCACGUUUACCCUCACCCUCACCCGCAUCCACACCCUCACCCUCAACCUCACCCCCAUCCACAACCCCACCCUCCCUACAUUUAUCAGUCUCCUCCACCACCCCCUAAGAAGCCUUACAAGUACCCAUCGCCUCCACCUCCCGUCCACCCAUACCCCCAUCCCCACCCUCUUCCUCAUCCCCACCCUCACCCUCUUCCACAUCCCCACCCUCUUCCCCAUCCUCACCCUCUUCCUCAUCCCCACCCUCUUCCCCAUCCUCACCCCCUCCCUCCUUACACUCCUCAUCCAAUCUAUCACUCUCCAUCACCACCACCACCUUACAAGAAGCCUUACAAGUACAAGUCCCCUCCACCACCUCCACACUACAUCUACGCAUCACCUCCACCUCCUUACCACUCUUAGACAGUGGUCAACUAGCAUAGUUCUAUGGUAACCUUCUUCAUACCUACGUACAUGCUACAUUAUUAUAAUUUCUCAUUAAUGGUUCCGCAUUUUUUUACAUCUAUACUUGUUCCCAAAAAAUGAAUACCAAACCCUCGUGAUCCCUGUCAAGGUUUUUAACUUGAUACGGAAAAUGAUUUUUCUGGUUUGGUUUUAUAGGGACCACGUACCCCUCACUGAAAUUGACAGACACUAUAAUAAUAUGUGCAUGUGUUCUAAUGUUUUGUA
rnacentral:lncRNA from 1 species